rnacentral:rRNA from 1 species
CCUACGGGUGGCAGCAGUGGGGAAUAUUACACAAUGGGGGAAACCCUGAUGCAGCGACGCCGCGUGAGUGAAGAAGUAAUUCGUUAUGUAAAGCUCUAUCAGCAGGGAAGAAAAUGACGGUACCUGAGUAAGAAGCCCCGGCUAACUACGUGCCAGCAGCCGCGGUAAUAAGUAGGGGGCAAGCGUUAUCCGGAUUUACUGGGUGUAAAGGGAGCGUAGACGGCAGUGCAAGUCUGGAGUGAAAGGCGGGGGCUCAACCCACGGACUGCUCUGGAAACUGUACGGCUGGAGUGCAGGAGAGGUAAGUGGAAUUCCUAGUGUAGCGGUGAAAUGCGUAGAUAUUAGGAGGAACACCAGUGGCGAAGGCGGCUUACUGGACUGUAACUGACGUUGAGGCUCGAAAGCGUGGGGAGCAAACAGGAUUAGAUACCCGGGUAGUC